rnacentral:rRNA from 1 species
GAGUUUGAUCCUGGCUCAGAGCGAACGCUGGCGGCACGCUUUACACAUGCAAGUCGAGCGAGAAAGCGGCUUCGGUCGCAAGUAUAGCGGCGGACGGGUGCGUAUAACGUGGAUAACCUGCCUUAAGGACCGGGACAACCUUGGGAAACCAAGGCUAAUACCGGAUAUGACCACGAUGUCUGAGGGCAACGGGGUAAAAGAUGACCGUUUACGGUUGUCGCCUUUUGAGGGGUCCACGUCCUAUCAGGUAGUUGGUGGGGUAAAGGCCUACCAAGCCAAAGACGGGUAGCCGGCCUUAGCGGGUGAUCGGCACACGGGGACUGAGACACGGCCCGACUCCUACGGGAGGCAGCAGUGGGGAAUAUUGGGGCAAUGGGCGAAAGCCUGACCCAGGGAUGCCGGUGAGGGAAGAAAGGCCUUCGGGUUGUAAACCCUAUUGUUCACGGAGGGGGAAAGACAGGGGUCUUGGCAAAUUUAACCUUGCGGGGGCUUUGACUUGUACCUCCAGAGGAAAGCCCCCGGGUUAACUUCCCGUGGCCAGCAGCCCGGGGGUAAAUAACCGGGAGGGGGGCAAGCGUUGGUCCGGAAUUACUGGGGUAAAAGUCCGGAAGGUGGGCCUUGGCCAGUUGGUUUGUGGAAAGCCGGGAGGUUAAUCCGGGAAUUGGNUCCCAAACUUGGUUGNCUUGGGAUUCCCAAAAAGGUGGGGAUAUACCGGUUGAACGGGAAAGGGGAAUAAACGGGGGAGGAACCCCCAUGGAACAGCAAAGGGGAGCCCACUUGGGGUUUGGGACGGAACUGGGGACAAACGUUGGGGUAGGAACCCGGAAUUAAAAACCCGGGGAUCCAGGGGGACACCCACCACAGGGGGACCGAAAAAUAAG